rnacentral:lncRNA from 1 species
UAACAACUGAUGAGUGGUACCUACUAUAGCUAGGCAAGGUAUCAUCUGCACAAUGGAGGUUUUACACCAUGACAAUCUUAUCUGUGUUGAAAAUCUUUUAACAUCUGUAUAAUAAUGUAAAAGUACAUAGUCAAACAUAUGAUGCUAGCAGAGCCUGAGGUUAUUGUGGUCAAGAAGCAAUACUUAUCAUAAGGACCCACAUAGGGUAGCAUGAAAAUGUUUUCAGCACAUAGAUGAACAAAAAAAGAAUGCUUGUCAGAACUUGAAAGAAACUGUGGUGAUUUGGGAACUGAGCUGUAGACAAUUAAAUGAUUUUUUAUUCAGUUUACAUAUUAGUUGGAAGUUGUGCAAUGAGUUAAGUUGUUUAUAGAUCAGCGAAGAACAUUAUAGAAGUUGUCUUCACCAGCUGGCAUGGUUUUGAAAAAAAAAUGAUUAACAGACAAAAAGAACAACAAUUAGCUAGAGAACUCAUGUUAUAAAUAUAAGCCAAGAAUUCGACAUGCUUGCACCUGUACAAUACAAUGGGUUGGUCAAGUAUGGCUCUUGACUAGAAAAAAAGAUAUCUUGCAUACUGUAUUAUUUUUAGUUGAUGAAUAGAGUUCUCUAUUGCCUGCAUGACCAUCAGACCAUAUGAUGUCUACCAUUUCUUUUAAAAAAAUUCCAGAAAUUUUCCUCUCCUGAGCCAUUUAAUCAGAUGGUUGGAGUUGUCAUAUUCAAAUAUAGAAAUAAGCAGUCAGAUAUACUAUAUACUGGGAUUUCCUGUUAACUAGCAAAAUAGAAGCACUUUAGCUGAUCUAACAUCAUGGGUCAGGUAUUUUGGGAUGGAGCUGAACUUGCAAUAGCAUUAGCAAAAUGAAAACCUUAGCAUGUUGAAUGAUAGCAGAUAAGAAACUUGUAUUUCUUGCAAUUGGCUCUAGAUGUUGAUAAGAAAUGCCCAUGUGCAAUAUCUUGAAAGCUUGGAUUUGAAUCCAGAAAGCUUAGGUUGAUCUUAUGUUCUUACCCCUGUUUUUUUCCUAAUCAGCAUGUUUAUUACCUUAGUACCCUAGCCACUGCCAAAAGUUUUUACCUUGAUCCACUAUUGGCAGCUACCAUUGAAAUUUCUAAAACCUAUACACAUAUUUGUUUUAGAAUUUAAGCUUGUGCAAGAGUAUAUGUUUAUGUCACUGAAGUAUGAGCUAUUGCAAUAAUUAUUUCUUCAUAUGACAGGGUAAGGCUAAAGAUGAAAAGAAUCAAUGACUAGGACAAUGGGAAAAUGUGAACUCAUGCCAUCUUUGCAAAGUAGAAAAGCUCUUUUUUGAGCCUCCACCUACUUUGAGCCAACAACAGUGUGCUAUGAAACAUAUUGGCCUAAAUAAUCUGUAAAUCGGAAUUUGAACAUGGGACCAUUGUAGACCUAGGCAUACAUUCUCUAAUUCAUAAGUGGUCGAUUAUACAAUAGUAGAAAAACUACAAACACAUGUUUGUUUAGAGAGGCUGGCAUACCAAAAAAUGUCAGAGUCAUAAUGACUGGACCAAAUGUUGGUGAACACCAAUCAUAAAUUUAGAGAGGAUGGUGUAAGUUUGUUUUGGUUGCGCCAGUGCAGACCUUUUGGUCAAACCCUCAGGCUUGCAGCUCUAAAGAAGCCAUGUACUACUAAAUGUGGAUAUAUCACACUUCUUAGCAAAAACAAAGAAGCCAAUGUAAUAAACUAUUUUAGAUCUUCAAUCUUGACACUACAUGAGCAAUGUUCUAAAAUUUUUUUCUUCAUGCCAACCAGACGAUCAACCUGAAUUAUUAAUGUUUUUCUCUGAAGGCGUAGGAAUUAGAAGUUGAAAGAAGGAAAUGACAUUUACCUUAUGUAUUUGUGUCUUCCUACCUGCACCCAUGUGAAAGGAGUAUAUUUUUCUCAUGGUCUGCAACUCUGCAAUUAAGCUAUUAUUCAUAAGGUUACCU